UACGCAAACAAGUUUUUGCAACAGGCGGCGGAAAGAUGACUGUCUCUGAUGAUCCAAUAGCCGAAAGAGUCAAAUCUAUUAUUCAACCAUCGGUCGAUGGUUUAAAGAAUCCAUUUGAUAGCGAUCAUGUAAGAGAUGACUGGACUCCGGCAACUUUGCGUUCAAAGAAAAGUGCUGAAUUACAAGUUCCGGCAUACGACGAUGAAGAAGCUCCAGACUCGG